GAUGUUGAUCGGCUACAAAUCCUUCAACCAGCAAAAGGAAGACUUGCAAUCAAGGCUAGGGUCCGGGAAACAAUCAGAAAAACAGAGAUUCCAUUUACUUUCGUGAGUAGAAACCUUUGUGCAACAUAUUUUCUCUCAGGACUUGGUCAGGUAGAAGAAACAUGUACACCGAAGGAAAUAUUUCACAUCAUAAGGGAUGGAAAUACCAAAGUUAUAUUUGUUGAUGAAGAUGAUAUUGCAACAUAUGUAGUAAAAGGUGUUGAUGACCCAAGAACUCUCAACAA
rnacentral:misc_RNA from 1 species